AGUCGAACGGACUUACAUUGAAGCCUAGCGAUAUGUAAGUUAGUGGCGGACGGGUGAGUAACGCGUGGGUAACCUGCCUUGUACUGGGGGACAACAGUUGGAAACGACUGCUAAUACCGCAUAAGCGCACAGCUUCGCAUGAAGCAGUGUGAAAAACUCCGGUGGUACAAGAUGGACCCGCGUCUGAUUAGCUGGUUGGUGAGGUAACGGCCCACCAAGGCGACGAUCAGUAGCCGGCCUGAGAGGGUGAACGGCCACAUUGGGACUGAGACACGGCCCAAACUCCUACGGGAGGCAGCAGUGGGGAAUAUUGCACAAUGGGGGAAACCCUGAUGCAGCAACGCCGCGUGAGUGAAGAAGUAUUUCGGUAUGUAAAGCUCUAUCAGCAGGAAAGAAAAUGACGGUACCUGACUAAGAAGCCCCGGCUAACUACGUGCCAGCAGCCGCGGUAAUACGUAGGGGGCAAGCGUUAUCCGGAUUUACUGGGUGUAAAGGGAGCGUAGACGGUUUUGCAAGUCUGAAGUGAAAGCCCGGGGCUUAACCCCGGGACUGCUUUGGAAACUGUAGAACUAGAGUGCAGGAGAGGUAAGUGGAAUUCCUAGUGUAGCGGUGAAAUGCGUAGAUAUUAGGAGGAACACCAGUGGCGAAGGCGGCUUACUGGACUGUAACUGACGUUGAGGCUCGAAAGCGUGGGGAGCAAACAGGAUUAGAUACCCUGGUAGUCCACGCCGUAAACGAUGAUUACUAGGUGUUGGUGGGUACGACCCAUCGGUGCCGCAGCAAACGCAGUAAGUAAUCCACCUGGGG
rnacentral:rRNA from 1 species